GGAAGCUGGCCAGUAAAAGAUAGGUUGGAGAUCAGAACUGCUUCACUUUCUCCAUUGAACAAUUUCUCCUGAGGGUUAGUGCCCACGUUAUGAUUACAGCUUCAGCGUCUAGCUCCCUAACUUGCUUCUACAGAUUCGCCUAAUGGCUGUGUGUUGGCUGAUGGUCACAGGUGCUGGGAAUAUUAGGAUGUAUCGCUAGCUCAUCUCCUCCUCUGUUCCAGCCAUCCCUCCUUGUUUCUUGUUUUCUCACCAACUAGACCAGAGGCUCCUCUAGGCUCCCCCACGUUUUCCUGUUUCAACGCUUGGGCCCACGAGGAGCUCAGUACCAGUGGGAACACAGCGGGAAGGGAACAGGACUCAUGGACCUGCAGUGGAUCCGCUCACCUUUGUCUCAGUCAUGUGUGGAAACUAACCAGGUAGAGAAUAGUUUUUGACUUGGCUUUAAGCAGAAUCCCACGGCAUCUUCUAGGUUGGCCGUGAAUGGAGGGAACAGCAAGGCCAGACCGUGGUGAGGGGUGAGCAGGG
rnacentral:lncRNA from 1 species